AUAUGUAUAAAAAUACGUUUUAUACGCAAGGGAUUACAGUUCUAUUUGAAUAGGUUAUUUUUUAAUGGCUUAGUUUACUUUUGAAUGUAUAAAAUUAUGUAUAUUGACGCAAUUUGUGUUAUUUUGGAAAUGGAUUCAAAUAAAUCAAUUCUUAUACUAAUUAUCUAGAAAACAACCCAAAUGCUAACUAAAAAAUAUUCUGGUAGGGUAAAUAAAUGAAUAAAGAAACCGAACAAAAACUAGCCGCGUCAUUCAC
rfam:Listeria monocytogenes EGD-e, complete genome